GACGAACGCUGGCGGCGUGCUUAACACAUGCAAGUCGAACGGUGAAGCGCCUUCCGUUUUGGUGGGUGUGGAUGAGUGGCGAACGGGUGAGUAACACGUGAGUAACCUGCCCCCUUCUUCUGGAUAACCGCAUGAAAGUGUGGCUAAUCCGGGAUAUUCUGGGUCUGUCGCAUGUUGGGUCUGGGAGAGAUCUUGUUUCGGUGGGGGAUGGGCUCGCGGACUAUCAGCUUGUUGGUGUGGUGAUGGCCUACCAAGGCGGUGAGGAGUAGCCGGCCUGGGAGGGUGGGCGGUCACACAGGUGCGGAGACGCGGCGCAGACUCCGACGGGAAGCAGUAGGGGGUAAUAGAGCACAAUGGGAGGAAGGCUGCUGCAGCGACGCCGCGUGGGGGAUGGAGGCCUGCGGGUUGUGAACCUCUUGCGCCAGUGAAGCAGGGCUGCCUAGUGUGUGGGUGGGUUGACGGUAGCUGGAGAAGAAGCGCCGGCUAACUACGUG
rnacentral:rRNA from 1 species